ACCUGGGUGGCUUAGUUGGUUGAGCAUCUGACUUUGGCUCAGUUCAUGAUCUCGUGGUUCGUGGGUUCGAGCCCUACGUCGGGUU
rfam:Felis catus isolate Cinnamon breed Abyssinian chromosome A2, whole genome shotgun sequence.